CUCAGACACAGAGGCCCAUGGCAGUGGCCCUGCUCUAGUGGCAGAGAUACUCAGGGGUCACAGGGAAUGUGACCUCCUUGCUGCACGUUCAGCCUUGGGAACGUGGGAACAGAUUUACUCCAGCCCCUUUCCUUCCCACCUGCAAGAGCUUGUGGAGGUCCUAAAGCUCUGUGACUUUUGAGGAAAAACAGGAGGAAAAGUGGGAGCUGAGGCCAGCAGAGAAGGAGCCAGCGCAACCGGGAGGAGCCAGAGGCUCUGCUGAGCAGUGCAGGGGAGAUGGACAAGGCUGUCCCGGCCUCACUACUGCAAGAUGUCAUCAUGAUUGUUCUGGAAAACCCUAGAGAAUCAACGGAGAAACUAACAAUUGGAGAAUACGGGAGAGGAGUGCCAUAUUCUUUAGUAAACAGGAUCGGCAGGUGAAGAUCAGCAGGAGAGCUGUGGUGCCAGGCCCUGAGUGACUUUAGACACUGAACACCCCCAAAGACUCUUCGCAAAUCUCCCAGUGACCUUCCCUGGAAAAGGGGCUCAUGUGGUGGGAGGUGCGGGCUGCGGCCCCGCACUCAGAUUCCAGGACGUUUCUGCCCUUGCU
rnacentral:lncRNA from 1 species